rnacentral:misc_RNA from 1 species
GAUGAAGAACGUAGCGAAAUGCGAUACGUAAUGUGAAUUGCAGAAUUCAGUGAAUCAUCGAGUCUUUGAACGCACAUUGCGCCCCCUGGUAUUCCGGGGGGCAUGCCUGUCCGAGCGUCAUUGCUGCCCUCAAGCACGGCUUGUGUGUUGGGCCUCCGUCCGCCUCCCGGGGGACGGGCCCGAAAGGCAGCGGCGGCACCGCGUCCGGUCCUCGAGCGUAUGGGGCUUCGUCACCCGCUCUUGUAGGCCCGGCCGGCGCUUGCCGACACAUCAAUCUUUUUUCCAGGUUGACCUCGGAUCAGGUAGGGAUACCCGCUGAACUUAAGCAUAUCAAUAAGCGGAGGA